rnacentral:piRNA from 1 species
AACAGACAUUGGAGACUCAGAAGGGU